UGACAUGACAUAUGUAUACCCAUAGAGAAAUAACAACAAGAGAGAAGUCAGGAAGAUAGGCAAUAACUGGAACACUCUUUCUGCGCAGGACGCCAUUUUGUGCGUUAGAAUUUGCAAUUUCCCGGCCCGGCAUAGAUAGAUAAUUUGGCGGUUUGUACUGAAUACUACUAAACAUAUUUUCUAUUUUCAUUACUGGAUAGUGCUGGAAUUGCUGAAAUUGAAUAUCG
rnacentral:lncRNA from 1 species